rnacentral:rRNA from 1 species
UUNAUUCGAAGCNACGCGAAGAACCUUACCAGCUCUUGACAUCUUCUGACAACUCUAGAGAUAGAGCGUUCCCUUCGGGGACAGAAUGACAGGUGGUGCAUGGUUGUCGUCAGCUCGUGUCGUGAGAUGUUGGGUUAAGUCCCGUAACGAGCGCAACCCUUGUUGUUAGUUGCCAGCAUUAAGUUGGGCACUUUAACGAGACUGCCGGUGAUAAACCGGAGGAAGGCGGGGAUGACGUCAAAUCAUCAUGCCCCUUAUGAGCUGGGCUACACACGUGCUACAAUGGAUGGUACAACGAGCAGCGAUCCCGCAAGGGCUAGCUAAUCUUUCAAAGCCAUUCUCAGUUCGGAUUGCACUCUGCAACUCGAGUGCAUGAAGUCGGAAUCGCUAGUAAUCGCGAAUCAGAAUGUCGCGGUGAAUCCGUUCCCGGGUCUUGUACACACCGCCCGUCACACCACGAGAGUUUGAAACACCCGAAGUCGGCCGGCCAACCCUAUGG